AACCCAGCUUUAAACACUAUUCCCAUAUUUUCCUAGGUGAAAAAUAAUUUCCAGGUAUUUUUUUUAUGAUGAAGGAAAGUAGUGUGUACAAAACCUAAAAUACUCAUAGAUAGCACUGG